AAGGGCUGUGGUGGUGGUUCUCCAAUCUAAACUCUGCUAUGGCAGGUGGUGGGUCUCCAAUCUAAACUCUGCUAUGGCAGGUGGUGGGUCUCCAAUCUAAACUCUGCUAUGGCAGGUGGUGGGUCUCCAAUCUAAACUCUGCUAUGGCAGGUGGUGGGUCUCCAAUCUAAACUCUGCUAUGGCAGGUGGUGGGUCUCCAAUCUAAACUCUGCUAUGGCAGGUGGUGGGUCUCCAAUCUAAACUCUGCUAUGGCAGGUGGUGGUUCUCCAAUCUAAACUCUGCUAUGGCAGGUGGUGGGUCUCCAAUCUAAACUCUGCUAUGGCAGGUGGUGGGUCUCCAAUCUAAACUCUGCUAUGGCAGGUGGUGGGUCUCCAAUCUAAACUCUGCUAUGGCAGGUGGUGGGUCUCCAAUCUAAACUCUGCUAUGGCUGGUGGUGGUUCUCCAAUCUAAACUCUGCUAUGGCUGGUGGUGGGUCUCCAAUCUAAACUCUGCUAUGGCAGGUGGUGGGUCUCCAAUCUAAACUCUGCUAUGGCUGGUGGUGGGUCUCCAAUCUAAACUCUGCUAUGGCUGGUGGUGGUUCUCCAAUCUAAACUCUGCUAUGGCUGGUGGUGGUUCUCCAAUCUAAACUCUGCUAUGGCUGGUGGUGGUUCUCCAAUCUAAACUCUGCUAUGGCUGGUGGUGGGUCUCCAAUCUAAACUCUGCUAUGGCUGGUGGUGGUUCUCCAAUCUAAACUCUGCUAUGGCUGGUGGUGGGUCUCCAAUCUAAACUCUGCUAUGGCUGGUGGUGGUUCUCCAAUCUAAACUCUGCUAUGGCUGGUGGUGGUUCUCCAAUCUAAACUCUGCUAUGGCUGGUGGUGGUUCUCCAAUCUAAACUCUGCUAUGGCUGGUGGUGGGUCUCCAAUCUAAACUCUGCUAUGGCAGGUGGUGGGUCUCCAAUCUAGACUCUGCUACGGCAGGUGGUGGGUCUCCAAUCUAGACUCUGCUAUGGCUGGUGGUGGGUCUCCAAUCUAGACUCUGCUAUGGCAGGUGGUGGGUCUCCAAUCUAAACUCUGCUAUGGCAGGUGGUGGGUCUCCAAUCUAAACUCUGCUAUGGCUGGUGGUGGGUCUCCAAUCUAAACUCUGCUAUGGCAGGUGGCGGGUCUCCAAUCUAAACUCUGCUAUGGCAGGUGGUGGGUCUCCAAUCUAAACUCUGCUAUGGCUGGUGGUGGGUCUCCAAUCUAGACUCUGCUAUGGCAGGUGGUGGGUCUCCAAUCUAAACUCUGCUAUGGCUGGUGGUGGGUCUCCAAUCUAAACUCUGCUAUGGCUGGUGGCGGGUCUCCAAUCUAAACUCUGCUAUGGCAGGUGGUGGGUCUCCAAUCUAAACUCUGCUAUGGCAGGUGGUGGGUCUCCAAUCUAAACUCUGCUAUGGCUGGUGGUGGGUCUCCAAUCUACACUCUGCUAUGGCUGGUGGCUGGUCUCCAAUCUAAACUCUGCUAUGGCAGGUGGUGGGUCUCCAAUCUAAACUCUGCUAUGGCAGGUGGUGGGUCUCCAAUCUACACUCUGCUAUGGCAGGUGGUGGGUCUCCAAUCUAAACUCUGCUAUGGCAGGUGGUGGGUCUCCAAUCUAAACUGUGCUAUGGCUGGUGGUGGGUCUCCAAUCUAGACUCUGCUGUGGCUGGUGGCAGGCCUCAGCCUCAU